CAGAGGGGGCGAGCGUUAUUCGGAAUUAUUGGGCGUAAAGGGCGCGUAGGCGGCUUGGCAAGUGGAAGGUGAAAUCCCUCGGCUUAACCGAGGAACUGCCCUCCAAACUGCUUUGCUUGAGGCCGGGAGAGGUGAGUGGAAUUCCCAGUGUAGCGGUGAAAUGCGUAGAUAUUGGGAGGAACACCAGUGGCGAAGGCGGCUCACUGGACCGGUUCUGACGCUGAUGCGCGAAAGCGUGGGGAGCAAACGGGAUUAGAUACCCCGGUAGUCCACGCCGUAAACGAUGAGUGCUUGGUGUAGCGGGUAUCGACCCCUGCUGUGCCGAAGUCAACACAUUAAGCACUCCGCCUGGGGAGUACGGUCGCAAGGCUG
rnacentral:rRNA from 1 species